CGUGACAGAACUAGAAAUGGGCGGAUUCAAAUGUAACGCUGGAGAAAAAACCUAAUUCGGAGAAGGUGGAGGAAGUUUUCAGCGAUAAGAGUAAGGUUAAGAAAGGUUGAGAUGCUUGAGUUUGGUUCUCAGGAAUUAGCUUUAAAUUGGUAUUGUGGGAAGGAAGAAUGGGAAUCAUUCAAGGAUGGAAUGAUUUGCAGAUGCAAUUAUUGGAACGAUUCCGACGAUGAAGCAGGGUAGUGUUUUGUGAUGUUUCCUUGUCUUCAAGUAAGAAACCACCAUGAUAGAAUACUGCUACACGUCCGAGUUGUUGAUUGCUCAACCUAGUUGUUAAGGUUGUGUUGGUAGCGCAUUGGGUUAGCAAAUAUGAUGAAAAUGGCAUUGUGCGUGGAGGAUCAUGAAGUGGCCAGAUUAGAAGCUUCGAAGCCUAUCAUUCUAGUUGAAAAAGCCCAAGUUCUUGCUCUAAAUCAAACUGGAAUGGAGGAAAAGUCGGCAAGAAGAUGAUGGAAAUGACACCCCCAUGCGUACGAUCACUCUGACGAGUAAUCCCACCGCCAUGCCACGUAAAGAGGGUCUGAUGAAGAAACUUUCUGAUGUAGAAUUUCAAUCUUGGUGAUAAAAGGGUCUUUGUUUCGGCUGCGAGGAAAAUUAUUAUGUUGGCCACAAAUUUAAAGCAAAGGAGAUUUAGGUUAUGGUGGUCGAACAGAGAGGAACUUGAAAUUGUAGAAAGAGAACAAUUUAAUUCUAGAAGCAGAGGAAAAUUUGUUGGCGGAACCAUUUAGAUGAAAGGACGGAUCGAUCAUCAAGAAGUAGUGAUCUUAAUUGAUUGUGGAGAAAUGUAUAAUUUUAUUCCUCAACGUUUGGUUGAGAAAUUGAACUUACCUUUGACAAAGGCCAGUUAAUGGGUACAGGGAUGGCGGUGAAA